ACGGAAGGCAGCAGUGGGGAAUAUUGCACAAUGGGGGAAACCCUGAUGCAGCGACGCCGCGUGAGUGAAGAAGUAUUUCGGUAUGUAAAGCUCUAUCAGCAGGAAAGAAAAUGACGGUACCUGACUAAGAAGCCCCGGCUAACUACGUGCCAGCAGCCGCGGUAAUACGUAGGGGGCAAGCGUUAUCCGGAUUUACUGGGUGUAAAGGGAGCGUAGACGGCUUUGCAAGUCUGAAGUGAAAGCCCGGGGCGCAACCCCGGAACUGCUUUGGAAACUGUAGAGCUAGAGUGCAGGAGAGGUAAGUGGAAUUCCUAGUGUAGCGGUGAAAUGCGUAGAUAUUAGGAGGAACACCAGUGGCGAAGGCGGCUUACUGGACUGUAACUGACGUUGAGGCUCGAAGGCGUGGGGAGCAAACAGGAUUAGAUACCCUGGUA
rnacentral:rRNA from 2 species